rnacentral:rRNA from 1 species
AGGGGCGGCGUUGCUAUACUGCAAGUCGAACGAACUCUGGUAUUGAUUGGUGCUUGCAUCAUGAUUUACAUUUGAGUGAGUGGCGAACUGGUGAGUAACACGUGGGAAACCUGCCCAGAAGCGGGGGAUAACACCUGGAAACAGAUGCUAAUACCGCAUAACAACUUGGACCGCAUGGUCCGAGUUUGAAAGAUGGCUUCGGCUAUCACUUUUGGAUGGUCCCGCGGCGUAUUAGCUAGAUGGUGAGGUAACGGCUCACCAUGGCAAUGAUACGUAGCCGACCUGAGAGGGUAAUCGGCCACAUUGGGACUGAGACACGGCCCAAACUCCUACGGGAGGCAGCAGUAGGGAAUCUUCCACAAUGGACGAAAGUCUGAUGGAGCAACGCCGCGUGAGUGAAGAAGGGUUUCGGCUCGUAAAACUCUGUUGUUAAAGAAGAACAUAUCUGAGAGUAACUGUUCAGGUAUUGACGGUAUUUAACCAGAAAGCCACGGCUAACUACGUGCCAGCAGCCGCGGUAAUACGUAGGUGGCAAGCGUUGUCCGGAUUUAUUGGGCGUAAAGCGAGCGCAGGCGGUUUUUUAAGUCUGAUGUGAAAGCCUUCGGCUCAACCGAAGAAGUGCAUCGGAAACUGGGAAACUUGAGUGCAGAAGAGGACAGUGGAACUCCAUGUGUAGCGGUGAAAUGCGUAGAUAUAUGGAAGAACACCAGUGGCGAAGGCGGCUGUCUGGUCUGUAACUGACGCUGAGGCUCGAAAGUAUGGGUAGCAAACAGGAUUAGAUACCCUGGUAGUCCAUACCGUAAACGAUGAAUGCUAAGUGUUUGGAGGGUUUCCGCCCUUCAGUGCUGCAGCUAACGCAUUAAGCAUUCCGCCUGGGGAGUACGGCCGCAAGGCUGAAACUCAAAGGAAUUGACGGGGGCCCGCACAAGCGGUGGAGCAUGUGGUUUAAUUCGAAGCUACGCGAAGAACCUUACCAGGUCUUGACAUACUAUGCAAAUCUAAGAGAUUAGACGUUCCCUUCGGGGACUUGGAUACAGGUGGGUGCAUGGUUGUCGUCAGCUCGUGUCGUGAAAUGUUGGGUUAAUUCCCCCAACCAACCCCAACCCUUAUUAUC